UGCUCCCCCAGAAUAUUUUGAAAUCUAGAGUCCCUGAAAUGCGAUUUCCUGCAUUUUCGGGGUUUGAGUUUGCAUAAGUCCGAAGACUGUAUAAUGCAUAAAAGACAUGAUUUUUCGUGAUGGAAAAUGAUGGGUUAAAAUAAAGCGAAUUACUUUUAAAACCGAAUGAUGAUUGAAAGUAAAUAUAUUUUACAUUUAAAAACCCAAAGUAAACCCUUUCUUCUUGAGGCCAUAUAUGUACUUACUUAGACAAGAUUAUACACAAUUAUAUUGUGGAUUUGGAUUUUAUUUCACCCCCCCCUCCCCCCCGUUGACUAAAUCCUGUCCAGUAUCCCCAAGUUGAAGGUCCUCUCUACGCCCCUGGUUGUAAUUAAAGAGCACACAAGAAUAGGAUGGGAAGAACUACCAUACGGCCAUACUAUGUUCUUCUUAACUUUAAUGUUGGAGGAGGGUGAAAAAUUUUCAGACUGUUCUAAAGGGGUGGACUACAUUUUUAAACACAUUAAAAGGGAGGUCAUUUUUAUUAUGCUGUUUGAAUUUUAGAAUCCACCAGCUCCUCCCCCCCUCCCCAACCGAUAAAUAAUGAACCCUAAGUAUUUUAUAUUUCCCGGUGUACAAUUCACGUAUUAAAUUUGCAAAACACAUAGA